rnacentral:rRNA from 1 species
GCGGAAGAUGUAACGGGGCUAAACCAUGCACCGAAGCUGCGGCAGCGACACUAUGUGUUGUUGGGUAGGGGAGCGUUCUGUAAGCCUGCGAAGGUGUGCUGUGAGGCAUGCUGGAGGUAUCAGAAGUGCGAAUGCUGACAUAAGUAACGAUAAAGCGGGUGAAAAGCCCGCUCGCCGGAAGACCAAGGGUUCCUGUCCAACGUU